AAAAAAAAAGACAAACUAAAGAAACUGAACCUAUUAUGAUAAUAACCAUAAUCUACUUUGUAAAGUGGUAAGUCUGACCUGUCAGAGAAAUUCACUAAGAAAUAUUAUAAUUGUACCUUAGAAAUACAAUAAAUAUUAUGCAAAUAUAUUUUGGUUUGGAACAUUCUGUUCUGGGGAAAUGAGAGUGCAUUUUCCUCCAAGACUGUGCUGAUAGGAUACUUUGGUUUCUACCAUUACUAAACUUUGUCUUCCCUAGCAGGAUGAAAUAGAAAAGUCUAUCCAAAUUAAGCUUGUUUCCUUGUUUGUGAUAGGAAAAAACACCACACACACCCUUCCCUUGUAUGUGUGGUAAAGAGCACAACUCAGAUGGGACAACAGAUCAGAACUCUCCACCCAAUCAUCAUAAUGGUGAUGAGGUGUGACCGAUGACAGCGGGCCUGUCCUCUAACAGACUAAGACUCUCUGACUCCCUCUACAUUUGAGCCUAGGUGGAAACGCUGAGGAGUCAGCAACAUCAAAUUUGCUAUCAAGCUCAUCCAUCCCAGAGAUAACAUCCUGCUGGGAGACUGGAAGUUUCUCUGCAAUUACAGCUAAUUACACUGGGAUGAUUUGGCUACGGACUCCUGUCAGAACAUACAUCUACCAUGAUCGAUUGUUUAAAGAAGGUUGUACUUGCAGGUACAUGCUUCAAAUCUAAUGGUUCACAAAGCUAUGUGCACUACCGUUAAUUUCAGAAAACUAUUUUAACAAGAAAAGCAAGCAGCCUAGUUAUACCAAUUGCAACUGCAGUCUCCUGUGAGUCUCCAGUAAUCAUUUUUAUCGACACUCCUGAGGCAAUGAGUGUUGUGACAGCUUCUUUCACACCAGUUCUGGGAGGAUCAAUGAUUCCCACCAGGCCAAGAAAUGUCAGCUGUCCCAGUUCCGGACCAGAAGCUAAAGCAAGAACUUAGGAAAUAAUAAAAUCCAAAAAAGGAAAUGUCUCCAAAACUACUGAAGAACUUAGAAGACUUAUUAAUUAAUUAUACAUAAUAUGUAACAAUUUCACACAUGACAAACCCUGGGAGGUUAAUUUAAUAUGUAAAGUGACUGUAAAACUAUUAAUAACAGUAGUUUGAUUUCUCUCACUCUUUUCAUACCAUUAAAAGGUAUUUUUUAUUUGUAA